AACCCAUGUUGAGGACAUUUCCGCAGGAGUUCCUUGAAGCUAUCCCAUGUCUCAAAAAGAGACUCCAAUUCCAUUUGCACAAAAGAAGAUUUUUCAUUCCUGAGCUU